UACGGGGGGGGCUAGCGUUGUUCGGAAUUACUGGGCGUAAAGCGCACGUAGGCGGCUUUGCAAGUUAGAGGUGAAAGCCCAGGGCUUAACCCUGGAAUUGCCUUUAAAACUGCAUCGCUAGAAUUGUGGAGAGGUGAGUGGAAUUCCGAGUGUAGAGGUGAAAUUCGUAGAUAUUCGGAAGAACACCAGUGGCGAAGGCGACUCACUGGACACAUAUUGACGCUGAGGUGCGAAAGCGUGGGGAGCAAACAGG
rnacentral:rRNA from 1 species